rnacentral:tRNA from 1 species
GGGGCUGUAGCUUAGUCGGUAGAGCGUUCGGUUGAAGCCCGAAUGGCAGGGGUUCGAUCCCCCUCGGUCCCA